ensembl:snRNA U6 U6 spliceosomal RNA
GUACACACUUCGGCAGAACAUAUACUAAAGUUGGAAUGAUAUAGAGAAGGUUAGCAUGGUCCCUGAGCAAGGAUGACAUGCAAAUUCAUGAAGCAUUUCAUAUUUUU